rnacentral:rRNA from 1 species
UACGUAGGGAGCAAGCGUUGUCCGGAAUCAUUGGGCGUAAAGCGCGCGUAGGCGGCCCUGUAAGUCCGUUGUGAAAGUCAAAGGCUCAACCUUUGAAAGCCGAUGGAUACUGCAGGGCUAGAGUCCGGAAGAGGCGACUGGAAUUCCUGGUGUAGCGGUGGAAUGCGCAGAUAUCAGGAGGAACACCGGUGGCGAAGGCGGGUCUCUGGGCCGAAACUGACGCUGAGGAGCGAAAGCGUGGGGAGCAAACAGG